AGUAAAAAACAUUUGAAUAAAAAGAAAUUUAAUUUAUUAUGGAGAGGUGGAAUUUGUAUAUAAAAAAUUAUAUCAUUUAUUUCUUUUAUUUGAUGCUUUGAAAAUAAAAUUGGAAACCGGGAUUAGAUACCCCGUUAUUUUUUUUGUAAAUUAUGAUUAAUUAUUUAAUUUACCUGAGUAUUACGGGUUGAAAAGCUCAAUGUAGAUGACUGUAACUACUUAGGAGCUUUUCAGGUACUUAAAACUCAAAAAACUUGGCGGUGCCUUAUUUCCUUCCAGGGGAACCUGUCCUGUAAUCGAUAAUCCACGAUUUAACUUACUUUUUUUUGAGGCUUGUACAGCAAGUUAUUAGUUUGUAUACCGUCGUCGUCAGAUUACCUUUGAAAGUUAAAAAGUUGUCGGACAAAAUUGGAGGUGUUGAUGUUAAAAGCAGUAACGGCACUGAUCAACUUUUGAUGUCAGAUCAAGGUGCAGCUUAUAUAAAAGUAGAGAUGGGUUACAAUAUAAAUUUUAUAUAAUGGAUACUAAUUUGUAAAUAAUUAGGUGAAAGUGGACUUGGGAGUAAUGUAGUAUAUAUAAAAAAUAAAUUAGAUAGUUUAUAUGAAUAUAGGUACUAAGGUGCGU
rnacentral:rRNA from 1 species